UAGCAUCUAUCUCUCUCUCUCUCUCUAUCUCUCUCUCUCUCUCUCUCUCUCUCUCACACACACACACACACACACACAGAGAGAGAGAGAGAGAGAGAGAGAGAGAGAGAGAGAGAUUCAAAUGACUU